rnacentral:ncRNA from 2 species
ACCAACCUUCAGGGCAGGGUGAAAUUCCCGACCGGCGGUGAUGACGAACGCACGUCUCAGCCCGCGACUCGCUGACGGCUUUGGCCGACAGCGACUGACUUGGUGAAAUUCCAAGGCCGACGGUACAGUCCGGAUGGGAGAAGGUAUUU